rnacentral:rRNA from 1 species
AAUAUUGCACAAUGGGCGCAAGCCUGAUGCAGCGACGCCGCGUGAGCGAAGAAGUAUUUCGGUAUGUAAAGCUCUAUCAGCAGGGAAGAAAAUGACGGUACCUGACUAAGAAGCCCCGGCUAACUACGUGACCGCAGCCGCGGUAAUACGUAGGGGGCAAGCGUUAUCCGGAUUUACUGGGUGUAAAGGGAGCGCAGGCGGUCCUGCAAGUCUGGUGUGAAAGCCCGGGGCUCAACCCCGGGACUGCAUUGGAAACUGUGGGACUUGAGUGUCGGAGGGGCAAGUGGAAUUCCUAGUGUAGCGGUGAAAUGCGUAGAUAUUAGGAGGAACACCAGUGGCGAAGGCGGCUUGCUGGACGACAACUGACGCUGAGGCUCGAAAGCGUGGGGAGCAAA